AACGAACGCUGGCGGCAGGCUUAACACAUGCAAGUCGAGCGCCCCGCAAGGGGAGCGGCCGACGGGUGAGUAACGCGUGGGAAUCUACCCAUCUCUACGGAAUAACGCAUGGAAACGUGUGCUAAUACCGUAUACGUCCUUCGGGAGAAAUAUUUAUCGGAGAUGGAUGAGCCCGCGUUGGAUUAGCUAGUUGGUGGGGUAAAGGCCUACCAAGGCGACGAUCCAUAGCUGGUGUGAGAGGAUGAUCAGCCACACUGGGACUGAGACACGGCCCAGACUCCGACGGGAGGCAGCAGUGGGGAAUAUUGGACAAUGGGCGCAAGCCUGAUCCAGCCAUGCCGCGUGAGUGAUGAAGGCCCUAGGGUUGUAAAGCUCUGUCACCGGUGAAGAUAAUGACGGUAACCGGAGAAGAAGCCCCGGCUAACUUCGUGCCAGCCGCCGCCGUAAGAC
rnacentral:rRNA from 1 species